GAUGAAGAACGUAGCGAAAUGCGAUAAGUAAUGUGAAUUGCAGAAUUCAGUGAAUCAUCGAAUCUUUGAACGCACAUUGCGCCCGCUAGUAUUCUGGCGGGCAUGCCUGUUCGAGCGUCAUUUCAACCAUCAAGCCCCAGGCUUGUGUUGGGGGCCUGCGGCUGCCGCAGCCCCUGAAAAGCAGUGGCGGGCUCGCUGUCAUUCCGAGCGCAGUAGUUACAUCUCGCUCCGGGCGUGGCGGUGGGCACCUGCCGUGAAACACUCCUUCUAAGGUUGACCUCGGAUCAGGUAGGAAUACCCGCUGAACUUAAGCAUAUCAAUAGCGGAGGA
rnacentral:misc_RNA from 1 species